rnacentral:rRNA from 1 species
UUAUUGAAAUAAACCUGAUGGGUUGUUGCUGGUUCUCUUGGGAGCAUUGUGCACGCCUUGUCAUCUUUAUAUCUCCACCUGUGCACUUUUUGUAGACCUUUCAGGUCUAUGUUGCUUCAUUUACCCCAAUGUAUGUUAAUAGAAUGUUGUGCCUAUAUAAUAUAUACAACUUUCAGCAACGGAUCUCUUGGCUCUCGCAUCGAUGAAGAACGCAGCGAAAUGCGAUAAGUAAUGUGAAUUGCAGAAUUCAGUGAAUCAUCGAAUCUUUGAACGCACCUUGCGCUCCUUGGUAUUCCGAGGAGCAUGCCUGUUUGAGUGUCAUUAAUAUAUAUAUCAAACUUCUCUUGUUGAGUGGUUUGGAUGUGGGGGUUUGCUGGCCUGUUCAGCUCCUCUGAAAUGCAUUAGCAGAACAAACCCUGUUCAUUGGUGUGAUAACUAUCUACGCUAUUGAAUGUGAGGGGCAGUUCAGCUUUCUAACCGUCCUUGGACAAUUCAUCAUUAAUGUGACCUCAAAUCAGGUAGGACUACCCGCUGAACUUAAGCAUAUCU